AUAUCAAUAAGCGGAGGAAAAGAAACCAACAGGGAUUGCCUUAGUAACGGCGAGUGAAGCGGCAACAGCUCAAAUUUGAAAUCUGGCGCCUUUGGCGUCCGAGUUGUAAUUUGCAGAGGAUGCUUCGGCGUUGGCGCCGCCCAAAGUUCCUUGGAACGGGACGUCGCAGAGGGUGAGAGCCCCGUGUUCGGGCGGAUGCCUUCGCCGUGUGAAGCUCCUUCGACGAGUCGAGUUGUUUGGGAAUGCAGCUCAAAACGGGAGGUAAAUUUCUUCCAAAGCUAAAUACCGGCCGGAGACCGAUAGUGCACAAGUAGAGUGAUCGAAAGAUGAAAAGCACUUUGGAAAGAGAGUCAAACAGCGCGUGAAAUUGUUGAAAGGGAAGCGCUUGCGGUCAGAACUUGGCCGUCGUUGCUCGGGGAGGUCUCGCGCCUCCCUCGCUCUUCGGCGGCUGGGCCAGCAUCGGUUCGGGCGGCUCGAGAAAGGUCGCGGGAACGUAGCUCCCUCCGGGGAGUGUUAUAGCCCGCGGCGCAAUAGGGCCUGCCUGGACCGAGGUCUGCGCAUCUGCUCGGAUGCUGGCGUAAUGGCCCCAAGCGGCCCGUCUUGAAACACGGACCAAGGAGUCUAACAUUCGUGCGAGUGUUCGGGUGUCAAACCCGUGCGCGCAAUGAAAGUGAACGUAGGUGGGAACCCCUCGCGGGCGCACCAUCGACCGAUCCUGAUGUCUUCGGAUGGAUUUGAGUAUGAGCACGUAUGUUGGGACCCGAAAGAUGGUGAACUAUGCCUAAGCAGGGCGAAGCCAGAGGAAACUCUGGUGGAGGCUCGCAGCGGUUCUGACGUGCAAAUCGAUCGUCAAAUUUGGGUAUAGGGGCGAAAGAC
rnacentral:rRNA from 1 species